GGUUUGCCCGUUGAAUUUAA
rnacentral:rRNA from 1 species